rnacentral:rRNA from 1 species
GAUGAACGCUGGCGGCGUGCUUAACACAUGCAAGUCGAACGGUGAAGCAGGAGCUUGCUCCUGCGGAUCAGUGGCGAACGGGUGAGUAACACGUGAGCAAUCUGCCCUGGACUCUGGGAUAAGCGUUGGAAACGACGUCUAAUACCGGAUACGAGACGCGAAGGCAUCUUCAGCGUCUGGAAAGAACUUCGGUCCAGGAUGAGCUCGCGGCCUAUCAGGUAGUUGGUGAGGUAAUGGCUCACCAAGCCUACGACGGGUAGCCGGCCUGAGAGGGUGACCGGCAACACUGGGACUGGGACACGGCCCAGACUCCUACGGGAGGCAGCAGUGGGGAAUAUUGCACAAUGGGCGCAAGCCUGAUGCAGCAACGCCGCGUGAGGGACGACGGCCUUCGGGUUGUAAACCUCUUUUAGCAGGGAAGAAGCGAAAGUGGCGGUACCUGCAGAAAAAGCACCGGCUAACUACGUGCCAGCCGCCGCUGUAAAAC